GAAAUUCGGAUUAAUACUCCAUAAUACUAUGAACUGGCAUCUUUUUAUAGUUAAAGCUCCGGCGGUUAAAGAUGGGCNUGCGUAACGUUAGAUAGUUGGUGAGGUAACGGCUCACCAAGUCUACGAUGUUUAGGGGGUCUGAGAGGAUGGUCCCCCACACUGGUACUGAGACACGGACCAGACUCCUACGGGAGGCAGCAGUGAGGAAUAUUGGUCAAUGGGCGCAAGCCUGAACCAGCCAUGCCGCGUGAAGGAUGACAGCGCUACGCGUUGUAAACUUCUUUUGUACAGGAAGAAACACUUCUACGUGUAGAAGCUUGACGGUACUGUACGAAUAAGCAUCGGCUAACUCCGUGCCAGCAGCCGCGGUAAUACGGAGGAUGCAAGCGUUAUCCGGAUUUAUUGGGUUUAAAGGGUACGUAGGCGGAAAAUUAAGUCAGUAGUGANAUCCUGCAGCUUAACUGUAGAACUGUUUAUGGAUACNGGGUUUCCUUGANUAUAGUUGAGGUAGGCNGGAAUGUGUA
rnacentral:rRNA from 1 species